AAAAAGAUAGCGAGAAGAAAGUUGAAACCAUUUUGAGAAAACGUCAAGAAAUCAAAAGUAGGCAGUUAUUACAGCAAGAUAAAUAUCAACACUCGAACACCAAAGAAAAAGAUAGCGAGAAGAAAGUUGAAACCAUUUUGAGAAAACGUCAAGAAAUCAAAAGUAGGCAGUUAUUACAGCAAGAUAAAUAUCAACACUCGGACACCAAAGCGCAAGAAAGACAUAUCAGGGAGGUAUUAAACCCCUUUGGGUUAAAAGGUCAAGAUAUUAAAAAAUUGGAGUUACUAGUAUUGGAACCUACAUUACAGCAAGAUAAACAUAAGCUCUCUAUAACAAAAGAAACCAUCGAAGAAACAGUUGCAACUGCAGAAGCUAUCCCAAACGAGCUAGACCAACCAGUGACAAGGAACCCAAACGAGCUAGACCAACCAGUGACAGGGAAACAGAAUCAGAAUAUUCGGAACUAAACAGCAGUCUUGAUGGGACUGAUUUCAAAUUGCUCAAUUUCUGAAUGAAGAACAUUUUUUACGACUAAGAAGCUAAUUAAGUAAUUUGUAAGUCACUGGAAAUCGAAUUUUUAACAAACAAAUGACGAUAUGUCCAAAAUCAAUCAUGACAAAGUUGUAGGUGUCUUACCAUAUUGUGGCAUAUUUCUGCCAACAGGUAAUCAUAUUAUUAUCGCAUUUAUUAUCGCCAUAUAAUCCUGUUAGAUAGAUAAAUGACGAAUAAGUAUCUAACUGUCAAAAACACUAAAAAGUGCCGAGAACUGUAAACACUUACCUGUAAAAUAAAAGAUAGUUAAAUGUUUAUCUAUAAAACUUUUGUUUGUUAACUUUGGUAUCAGAUAAUUAUUUGUAUAACUAGAUAAACUUUUAGUUAAUAGGUAAUGCGGAAUGUUUCGGCCCUAUCCCUUGUCUUUUUCAACGCAUUAAAUGGUUAUCUAAACAAAAAAUUCUGUUACCAGUUCAAUCACAGAUAAUUAUCGUCUAUCAAAUUCAUUUUCCUGUUAGGUAGUUAGUAAUUUAGUAUGAAAGAUUUAAGAUAAUUAUCUGUAUAACUAGUUAAUUUUUCAUAAAACAGAUAAUAUUUAUUGCAAAAUAUUUUGUACACAUUCCUCCAAAGGGUGGAACCUAUUUGUUUUGGCAAUUUUAGCGGAAGGGUUACAUAUUUUUUAAUAUAUUGCACAAUUCUUGGCGAGUAUCAGUAAAGUUAUCCUAUGAUUAUAAACCCAUUUUGAAAGGGAUAGUUUCUAUGGGUAGGACAUGGUUAAUUGGUUAUUUAAGAAAUAUGGCUUUUGUUUAGAGAAGUGGUAUACAUUGUGCUCUUUAAAUUACCAUCAGACAAUUUUAAUAAUUAUAUAAAAGAAACUUUUUCUACAAGAUAAUUCUACCUUUGGCCAUUAAUAUGCACAUUUAAAUAAACAUGAAACAGAAAUAAAGUCUAAAACUAUGACAUUAUACACUGUGAAUGUAAAUAUAUACAUUAUAUUGAUAACCAAAUGAAAAACAAUAAAUUAUUAUCACUAUUUGCGAUAAUAGGCUAAACUUAAUUCUACGGAAUACCGUUAGGGCCGUCGUUGAUUACUAUAAUCUACAGGGCGACAAUGUGACAGUGAGAUAAUGACCAUAUAUUUUUGCAACUUCAAAGAGGAAAACCGUCUUUUCACUGGAAUUUUCUGCUGAUAAAAGGACUGGCAUACAGUUUUUAUAGAUGCAAAUAUAGUCACAAAUUAUCAUAUAGACUUAUGAGAGAUUCAUUUUCGUAAGAAAACAAUAAAGUGUUGGUUUUUAAAAAGGGGUUUCAUAAUUACAAGCGUCUAAUUUUCCUGAAAAUCACCUCAUGUCUUACGGUAUAAUCUGUUUUUUCCUGCACUUUUUAAGCCAAUCGCUGGCUAUGUUACAAUACGAAAGUCUGGCCGUUAUUUUGGAUUUCGGUCUAUAUAGGGUGGACCUUGGUAAAGUAACCUCCCACGGAAAGUGUUUAAGGUAUUCCGCAUUACUAGUAUCUAUUAACUAAAAAUUUAAUAGUUAUACAGAUAAUUGUCUUAUAUCUUUCAUACUAACUGAUCUGACUAAGUAACUAAUGGAAAAAUUAGUUUGAUAGUCGGAUAAUUAUCAUAUAUUGCAUAUUCUUUGUAUGGGGACACUUAAUCUUGAAAUGUUCUCAGUUAUUGGUUAUUAUUGUUUGAUAAACACUGAUUUCAUUUUGAUUCAUUAAGAAAAUCAAAAUCACAUUGGUAUAAGUGUUUAUGAUUCCUCGAAAAGUUAUAUAUUCUGAGAGCUCUGCUUUGACUCUAUCAUCAAAACCAUUUACUGUGAAAAUAAACAAUUAUUUCAAAAUGAAUAUCAUUUUAUUUUCAUUUUAUAUUUCUUAUGUUUUAUUUAAUUUUGGAUUUGAAUGUAAUACAUCUUGUAGCCCAGAGCUACAAGAUAUAGAUUUAGCAUGUACAUAGUUAUAAAUAUAUAGAGGAUAUUGAAUGAGUGUAGUUUAAUACUACAUUUAUUGAACAAGUUGAAUAAAAUCAUAUUAUGCGAGCCUCUGGCGAGCAUAAUAUUGUUUUAUUCAACGAGUUCAAUAAAUUUAGUAAUGAAUCUACACGAAUAUAGUAUUCUUUUUAUCACAUAUAUAAAAUAAGAACAAUAAACUGUUGAAAUGAGUAAUUUUUCAAUGACGCGCCCAUCGUGUAACGCUAACAUUAGCGUGCGUUAACGCUAUGUUUAUAUAUAGAGUAAAUGCAGUCACGUCAACGUGAUAUUAUUCUAGUGUAAUAACGUUUU